CCUACGGGUGGCAGCAGUGAGGAAUAUUGGUCAAUGGCCGGAAGGCUGAACCAGCCAUGCCGCGUGAAGGUCAGUGCCCUAUGGGCGUUAAACUUCUUUUGUGCGGGAGCAAUAAUGGUCACGUGUGGCCAGACGAGAGUACCGUACGAAUAAGCAUCGGCUAACUUCGUGCCAGCAGCCGCGGUUAUACGGGGGGUGCAAGCGUUAUCCGGGUUUAUUGGGUUUAAAGGGUGCGUAGGCUGUGAGGUAAGUCAGCGGUGAAAUGCCCCGGCUCAACGGGGUGAAGUGCCAUUGAUACUGCCUGGCUGGAGUGCGGAUGCAGUGGGAGGAAUGUGUGGUGUAGCGGUGAAAUGCAUAGAUAUCGCACAGAACACCGAUUGCGAAGGCAUCUCACGAAUCCGCGAUUGACGCUGAUGCACGAAAGCGUGGGUAUCAAACAGGAUUAGAUACCCUAGUAGUC
rnacentral:rRNA from 1 species